UGGGGAAUCUUGGACAAUGGGGGCAACCCUGAUCCAGCCAUGCCGCGUGAGUGAUGAAGGCCUUAGGGUCGUAAAGCUCUUUCGCCUGUGAAGAUAAUGACGGUAGCAGGUAAAGAAACCCCGGCUAACUCCGUGCCAGCAGCCGCGGUAAUACGGAGGGGGUUAGCGUUGUUCGGAAUUACUGGGCGUAAAGCGCACGUAGGCGGACCAGAAAGUUGGGGGUGAAAUCCCGGGGGCUCAACCCCGGAACUGCCUCCAAAACUAUUGGUCUAGAGUUCGAGAGAGGUGAGUGGAAUUCCAAGUGUAGAGGUGAAAUUCGUAGAUAUUUGGAGGAACACCAGUGGCGAAGGCGGCUCACUGGCUCGAUACUGACGCUGAGGUGCGAAAGUGUGGGGAGCAAACAGGAUUAGAUACCCUGGUAGUCCACACCGUAAAACGAUGAAUGCCAGUCGUCGGGUAGCAUGCUAUUCGGUGACACACCUAA
rnacentral:rRNA from 1 species